AGCCCUCCAGUCCCAAAGCCACUGCUUUGGUGGGCUUUGUGGGGCUUUCAGGAGAUCAUUUCCUCAUACUGCUGCCCCCAGGGGAGGCUCUUCCCUGUGCUGUUGUGGUUGCUGUCCUUAUUGAACUGAAAUAUUGGGCUAAAGGAAGAGAAAAUGGGAUUAUUUUAAACAUUGCUGUUAUUUCGGGACUGAGUGGGCAGAUCGUGUUUGCCUCUCCUGCAGGAGAAGUCCAAACAAACAAGCAUACGGCAGGACACCAGGAGGCUGUGCCGCAGGGCGCUGCGCUGCAGGAGAGCAGGGAGAUGCAGCGGAUGACAAAGCCUGGAUCUCUUACACGCUGCUUCUGAAGGAAAAAUAACCUCGAGUUUAAAAAAACAAGCCAUUGCAAAAAAAAAAAAAAAAAAAAAAAAA